ACCGGCUGGCUCAGCACGUAGCGCGCUUCGAACGCGCCGAGGGAGAAACCUUUCUCGCGCGCGUUCUGGUUGCGCAGCCAUUC
rnacentral:tRNA from 1 species